rnacentral:rRNA from 1 species
GACUGCCGGUGACAAACCGGAGGAAGGUGGGGAUGACGUCAAGUCAUCAUGGCCCUUACGGCCUGGGCUACACACGUGCUACAAUGGUCGGUACAAAGGGUUGCCAAGCCGCGAGGUGGAGCUAAUCCCAUAAAACCGAUCGUAGUCCGGAUCGCAGUCUGCAACUCGACUGCGUGAAGUCGGAAUCGCUAGUAAUCGUGAAUCAGAAUGUCACGGUGAAUACGUUCCCGGGCCUU